UCGGCUGGGCGGCUGGAAACGGUGGCCGUCGCCGGUGACUCAGGGAGGCGGGAGGCGGGGUAAGAGCGCCGCGGCCUCGGCUGAGGGGAGCGGAGGAAGAAAGGGAGGAGCCCUUCCUGCAGCGUGGAAACCAUGGUGCUCACGUUCGGAGAAAGUUGGCCAGUAUUGGUAGGGAAGCGAUUCCUCAGUCUGUCCGCAGCCGACGGCAGCGACGGCGGCCACGACAGCUGGGACUUGGAGCGCGUCGCCGAGUGGCCCUGGCUCUCCGGGACCAUUCGAGCCGUCUCCCACACCGACGUUACUAAGAAGGAUCUGAAGGUGUGUGUGGAGUUUGAUGGGGAAUCUUGGAGGAAGAGAAGAUGGAUAGAUGUCUACAGCCUUCUAAGGAGAGCCUUUUUAGUGGAACAUAACUUGGUUUUGGCUGAACGAAAGUCUCCUGAAGUUUCUGAGCGAAUUGUUCAGUGGCCUGCGAUAAUGUACAGAUCUCUGCUGGACAAAGCUGGUUUGGGAUCCAUAACGUCUAUUCGCUUUUUAGGAGAUCAACAAAGAGUAUUUCUUUCUAAAGACCUUUUAAAGCCUAUACAGGAUGUAAACAAUCUUCGACUUUCACUUAUUGAUAAUCAGAAUGUCAGUAAAGAAUUUCAAGCUUUGAUUGUGAAACAUUUGGAUGAAAGCCAUCUUUUACAAGGUGACAAAAACUUAGUUGGUUCAGAAGUAAAAAUUUAUAGCUUGGACCCAUCUACACAGUGGUUUUCUGCAACCAUUGUAAAUGGAAACCCAACAUCAAAAACUCUUCAAGUCAACUGUGAGGAGAUUCCAGCACUGAAAAUUGUUGAUCCAUCACUGAUUCAUGUUGAAGUUGUACAUGAUAACUUUGUGACAUGUGGUAAUUCUACAAGAAUUGGGGCUGUAAAACGCAAAUCUUCUGAGAAUAAUGGAAGCCUGGUUUCCAAACAAGCAAAAUCUUGCUCUGAGGCCUCUCCCAGUGUGUGUCCUGUACAGUCUGUUCCCACAACAGUUUUUAAGGAGAUACUGCUCGGCUGCACUGCAGCAACUCCGCCAAGUAAGGACCCGAGACAUCAGAGUACUCCCCAGGCUGCCAACUCUCCACCUAACCUUGGAGCAAAAAUUCCUCAAGGAAGUCAUAAACAGAUUUUACCAGAACUUUCUUCCUGUCUAAAUACAAAGCCUGAAAUACUGAGAACACCAGAUGCUGUCUGCAAAGUAGGAUUGCUCUCUUCAAAGUCCUCUCAGGUUGGAACUGGAGACUUGAAAACCCUGAGUGAACCAAAGGGAAGCUAUACCCAGCUGAAGACAAACACUGACCAGGAAAGCAGGUUGGAAUCUUUUCCUCCAUCAUCAACUCACCUUCCUAAGGAGUGCUUACCUACAAAGCCUUCUUCUACGGCAGAAUUGGAAAUUGCCAGUACUCCUGAACUGCAGAAGCAUCUCGAACAUGGACCUUCCACAUCUGAUGUCCUUUCAAAUAUGCCAGAAGAGAAAGCAGAUGUCAAUAGUAAUAGUCCUAAUUGUUGUGUAGAAAAAAAGGUAGAACCUUCAACUUUAGGUUGCCAGUCACAGAAUUUAAAGGAGUCUUCAGCAAAAGUAGAUACUGAAAGCUGUUGUACAAGAAGCAACAAUAAAAUCCAGAAUGCCCCAUCCCGGAAGUCGGUUUUGACAGACCCAGCCAAACUCAAGAAGCUGCAGCAGAGCGGUGAGGCCUUUGUGCAGGACGACUCUUGUGUGAACAUCGUUGCACAGCUACCCAAGUGCCGGGAGUGUCGCUUGGACAGCCUCCGAAAGGAUAAGGAGCAGCAGAAAGACUCGCCCGUGUUUUGCCGCUUCUUUCACUUCAGGAGGUACCGAGGCCCAUCUCAACACUGCUUCUUAUUCCAGAAGCUUGCAUGGUUACAGUUCAACAAACAUGGUGUAUUGCGGGUAGAAGGCUUCUUAACACCAAACAAGUAUGACAGUGAAGCAAUUGGCUUAUGGUUGCCUUUAACCAAAAAUGUUGUUGGGACUGAUUUGGACACAGCAAAGUAUAUCCUGGCAAACAUUGGAGACCACUUCUGUCAAAUGGUGAUUUCUGAAAAGGAAGCUAUGUCAACUAUUGAGCCACACAGACAGGUUGCUUGGAAGCGAGCUGUCAAAGGUGUUCGAGAAAUGUGUGAUGUGUGUGACACCACCAUCUUCAACCUGCACUGGGUGUGUCCUCGGUGUGGGUUUGGAGUGUGUGUGGAUUGCUAUCGGAUGAAGAGGAAAAAUUGCCAACAGGGUGCUGCCUACAAGACUUUCUCUUGGCUGAGAUGUGUGAAGAGUCAGAUACAUGAACCAGAGAACCUCAUGCCUACGCAGAUCAUUCCUGGAAAAGCCCUCUAUGACGUUGGAGACAUUGUUCAUUCUGUAAGAGCAAAAUGGGGAAUAAAGGCAAAUUGUCCGUGUUCAAACAGGCAGUUCAAACUCUUUUCGAAGCCAGCCUCAAAGGAAGACAUAAAACAGACUUCCUUGGUUGGAGAAAAAUCGACUCUUGGUGCUGUGCUCCAGCAGAACCCCUCGGGGUUGGAGCCCAUGGCUGUAGGUGGGGAGGCUGCGUCCAAGCCGGCCAGCAGCGUGAAGCCUGCCUGUCCUGCCAGCACAUCUCCUUUGAACUGGCUGGUAGACCUGACCAGCGGCAAUGUCAACAAGGAAAACAAGGAAAAACAACCAACGAUGCCAAUUUUAAAGAAUGAAAUCAAAUGCCUUCCACCCCUACCCCCCUUGAGCAAAUCCAGCACAGUCCUCCACACCUUUAACAGCACGAUUUUGACACCUGUAAGCAACAACAAUUCUGGUUUCCUCCGAAAUCUCUUGAAUUCCUCUGCAGGAAAGACAGAAAAUGGACUCAAGAAUACACCAAAAAUCCUUGAUGACAUCUUUGCCUCUUUGGUGCAAAAUAAGACUUGCUCCGAUUUAUCUAAGCGGCCGCAAGGACUGACCAUCAAGCCCAGCAUCCUGGGCUUCGACACUCCUCACUACUGGCUGUGUGACAGUCGCCUGCUGUGCCUGCAAGAUCCCAACAACAAGAGCAACUGGAAUGUGUUCCGGGAGUGCUGGAAGCAAGGGCAGCCAGUGAUGGUGUCAGGAGUGCAUCAUAAGCUGAACACUGAACUUUGGAAACCGGAAUCCUUCAGGAAAGAGUUUGGAAAUCAGGAAGUUGACCUCGUUAAUUGCAGAACCAAUGAAAUCAUCACAGGAGCCACAGUAGGAGACUUCUGGGAUGGAUUUGAAGAUGUUCCGAACCGCUUGAAAAAUGAAAAAGAGCCAAUGGUGCUGAAACUUAAGGACUGGCCACCAGGAGAAGAUUUUAGAGAUAUGAUGCCCUCCAGGUUUGAUGAUCUGAUGGCCAACAUUCCACUGCCUGAGUACACAAGGAGAGAUGGCAAACUGAACUUGGCCUCAAGGCUGCCAAACUACUUUGUUAGGCCAGACCUGGGUCCCAAGAUGUAUAAUGCUUAUGGAUUAAUUACUCCAGAAGAUCGGAAAUAUGGAACAACAAAUCUUCACUUAGAUGUAUCUGAUGCAGCUAAUGUCAUGGUCUAUGUGGGAAUUCCCAAAGGACAGUGUGACCAAGAAGAAGAAGUCCUUAAAACCAUCCAAGAUGGAGAUUCUGAUGAACUCACGAUAAAGCGAUUUAUUGAAGGAAAAGAGAAGCCAGGAGCCCUCUGGCACAUAUAUGCUGCUAAGGACACAGAGAAGAUACGAGAAUUUCUUAAAAAGGUAUCAGAAGAGCAAGGUCAAGAAAACCCCGCAGACCACGAUCCCAUUCAUGAUCAGAGCUGGUAUUUAGACCGAUCGCUAAGAAAGCGUCUUCAUCAAGAGUAUGGAGUUCAAGGCUGGGCUAUCGUGCAGUUUCUUGGAGAUGUGGUAUUUAUCCCAGCAGGAGCUCCACAUCAGGUUCAUAACUUAUACAGCUGUAUCAAAGUGGCUGAAGAUUUUGUUUCUCCAGAACAUGUUAAACACUGCUUCUGGCUUACUCAGGAAUUCCGCUAUCUGUCACAGACUCAUACAAAUCAUGAAGAUAAAUUACAGGUGAAGAAUGUUAUCUACCAUGCAGUGAAAGAUGCGGUUGCUAUGCUGAAAGCCAGUGAAUCCAGUUUUGGCAAACCCUGAGGGUCCCAGAGGCGCCUGACCCCUGCACAUUGGAAGUGAAUUACUGGCAGCUGUUCAAACUCUUCAGGCAGGAAUCCUGUGGACUUUGAGACUCAUGUUACCUCAUCUUCUUUUUUAAACUGUACCCACCUGAGUCAACACACACUUCAUCAGUGUUACAGGUGUAAGAGUUUGCGCCAGGAACUCAUCUUAAAAGCACAGAAAUUUGAUGCUUUAGUGAUUUCUGAGUGGUUAUUACAAUGCUAACAUGGAAACAAGUUUCUCCCCAGCCAAGUUGAAACUCCUGUCACACUUUUGUAAAGAAACACCACCACCUUUAGAAGUGACAAUUAACCAAAAAACCAAAUAGUGACGGGUUAAAUGGUUCUAAAAAGGUAAGAGAUCAAAAUUCUUUGUCUCUCUUCUGACCCUUUAUAGUUUAAGAGUUUACAAAGGAAAAUGAAAUUACUAGAAGUUUUAGAACAGUAGUAUCUAAAAUAAUCAUCUCUAUGAAGGAAGAAAAUAAAGAAGCCACUUUUCUAUAGCUCGUUGAUUCUCCUAGACAGCUGUAGCUGUACUAAAAGGAAUUAAAUUGAAAUCAAGUAGCGUAGACAAGGCCUAGAGCCUGGAUUUUUACCUGUGAGCUCAGAGUAGGAGAUCAAAGAUCCCCGCCUAAUGUCAGCCCACUUCAAACCAAAAUCUAUCUUUAAUGGAUGAACUUUCAAAAACAAAGUUUUCUGAAAAGAAAGAAUAAGUAGAAAUAUCUACCUAUCUUAGUGGGAAACGUCUUCCCUGGGAAUUUCUUACCAGAAGCUUCUUUAUACAGUUUUGGAUCUAGAAUUGGCACUGUUGAUUAGAAAUCUCCAAUAGGUAAAAGAAGAAGAGGAAAACUUGGAUUCUCUAUAGAGGAAAUCACCUUCAAGCCAGGCCUCAAAGGAGUCCCACAGAUGAUAGUUCCAAGGACUGUUAUUCACAAUCAAAUGCAUUGUAUACACAAAUAUGAAAACUGAAAGCUACCAUGAGCAAGAGUCGAUGCAAACCUGAAACUGCCAUAUCAAACGUGCAAAGUUUGUAGGUUCUGGAAUGAUCCAGCACUUAUUGUAUAUUCUGAAAUGUUUAGUAUGUUUGAAGAAAUGAGAAUAUAGGAAUAUGAUGAAAGAAUGAGAUUGCCAGAAAUGACCAGAUUUGGAAAGAAGCUGAAUAGAACUUACAGAAAUGAGACAUGAUGGUUAAAAUUAGAAAUUCAGCAUAUGAGUUAAGUGGCAGAAAAAAGUUCUUUUACAAACUGAAAGAUUGGUAAAAAUAACACAAGACAGCAUUGAGUAACAGGAAACUGUAAAGAAGUGGUAACUUACAAGGCGGACACGGAAAAGUAUAGGUUUGACCAUCAGUGACAGAGAAUUAAGAGACUGGUGAGGGAGGGUGACAUUCUGAGACUGAAAUUUUUCCAGUACUGACAGGUCAGGUCGAAGAAGCCUAACUAAAGCAAGCAAGAUAAAUAAAAUAUCCACACCUGUGGGUAGUAAGUAACAGUAAUAAGUUUAAAGAAUACCCAAAACAAAUAGGUUCUUAAAAGUACCCAGAAUGGGGAAAAACAUGAUCUUCAAAGAGGUGACAGACUUAACAGCUGACUUCUUAACAACAACAGGGGGAGUCAGGAAAGUAGAUGCAACUCUUACUGUGCCAGAGAACAUGCCUGAAAAUAAGUCUAGACACAGCAAAAUUAUUUUCCCUGUUUCACUGACAUUUUCAGAUAAAAGCCAGAGUUUUUCUUCAGGCCCUUGCUGAAGGAACUUGUAAGAAUAUCCUUAGGAUUAAAAAAAAAAUAAAAAGAAAAAGAGAAUACCCUUAGGAAAAAAAAAGUAACCCACAUCAUGAUGCAAGAAAAAACGGUGUACAAGGGAAACUGUAAAUUCAUGGAUAAUCUUAAGCAACAGUGGAACAAUAUUUUUAGAAGUAAGUCUGGAUAAAGUUCCUCUAAAAGUUAAACAUAGAAUUAACGCAUGAUCCAGCAAUUCCACAACGCAUGAUCCAGCAAUUCCACUGCUAUGUUUAUACUCAAAAGAAUUGAAAGCAAGGAUUCAAGCAGGUACCUGUAGACUCAUGUUCAUAGCAGCAUUAUUCACAAGAGCCAAGAAGUGGAAACAACCCUAUAGAUGAACAGAUGAUAAACAAUGUGGCAUAUCUAUACAGUGGAAUAUUUUUCAGUCUCUUAAAAAGGAAAGAAAUUCUGACACAGGCUACAACAUGGAUGAGUCUUGAAAAUACACUAAGUGAAAUAUGGCAGACACACCAAAGGACAGAUACUGUAUGGUUCCACUUAUAUGAGGGACAGUCAUGUUCCUAGAGUAGAGACAGGAAGUAGAAUGAUGGUUACUGGGGCUGAGAGGAAGGGGAACUGGAAGUUACUGUUUAACGGUUACAGACUUUCUGUUUGGGAUGAUGAAAAAAUUCUGGAGAUAGAUGGUGGUGAUGGUUGUACAACAUUGUAAAUGUCCUUACUGCCACUGAAUUGUACACUUAAAAAUGAUUAAAAUGGUCAAUUUUGUGUUAUGUAUAUUUUA